UUAAGAAACAACUUAUACAAUAUACCGAUUCUUAUUAAUUCUUAUUAAUAUUUGUAAUUCAAUCAACGUUCAAUUAAAAUAACAUAUAAUAUAUAAUACAGACGAAGUUUCAGGUAGUUGUGCGAAUUUCUGAAAAAUCAUGAGAGUUCAGAUAGAAUCAAGAGCUUGUCGAAUACACAAAAAGGAUGACACUUUAAUGUGUUUCUAUCAAAUGUAUCAGUACAAAUCGAUUGAGUCGGAUUUUUAUUCAUUUGUAUCAGUUUCUUUCCCUCUGAAGUUAGUUCUUGAAUGAUCGUUUAGCAAAUACAUAUAAUUUUUCCUCGAUGAAUCAUUAGAUGGAGGCUUACAAAGGCUACAUGAUGCGUUAGUACAACACAUUAGUCAACGGUUCAGUUUGAUUCUACGCUAUUUGAUGAUGUUUCCUGGCCGUUUUCAGGAAAUAUCGAUUCACACCGUUUUAAAUUAUAGCCACAACGAGGCUGCGACGAAGGCAACAAAUUCCCUGGGCGUUUUGGAUGAAAAUUCUUUGAUGCAUCUCGAAUUCGAAUAAACGAACAGUCUAAGCAGAAAAUAUUCUCUGGAAUGGA